UCUCUUCUCCCUCCGCAGCUCCGCUUCAUGGCUGCAGAUUAGGGUUUACGGUGGGAGUUGGGUAUUUUCUUUCUCCUCCCUGACGUAGAUUGGGGAAGUAGAACGGGAGUGAUGCGGAGGCCGAAGCCGGACCCCUCCGUUCCUGUGAGGAGGAGGAGGUUUGUUCAGUUCCUACUUGGCGUUGGGCUCAUAUACCUCUCCUUCCUCUUACUCUUCGAGUUUCCGUUCGUCAACCUCCAGUUGCGGAUGAAAGGUGCUGGUGGGAUUGUUGGCGGCGACGAGGUGCCGCGCCGACUUGCCCUUGUCAAAGAGGAGAGGACCCAAGUGAAGUACUCCCCGAGUCGCUCCUUUAUGCUUCCUCAUCGAUCGGAUGAGUCCGCUGCUUCUCCGCUCCAGCAACGCCCGACUCUUCUGCACCGGCGGUCGCUGAUUGUCUCUGCAUUCGAUUUUGUGGAGCUGUACUCCAGUGGGACUGGAGCCUUCUCGGACCUCUACAAAUCGGCGAGGGAUGCGUGGGAGGUGGGAAAGAAAAUAUUAGAGGAACUGAAAGCUCCACCGCCGCCAUCUUCUUCGGUACCGGCGAUGGAAAGAUCGGCAGAAGAGAGCUGCCCGAUCUCGAUCCAGUUAUCGGGGGAGGAGCUCCAGGUUCGAAACAGAGUGAUGGUGCUGCCCUGUGGGCUCACACUGGGGUCCCACAUCACAUUGGUGGCAAGACCUCGCCGGUCUCAUGGGGAGUCUAACCCAAAGAUACCGUCUUUGAAAGAAGGGGAGCAUAGCGUCACGAUGUCUCAAUUCAUGAUAGAGCUGCAGGGACUCAAGACAGUGGAUGGAGAACAACCACCAAGGAUCCUCCACUUCAACCCUCGGUUGAGGGGGGAUUGGAGUGGAAAACCUGUGAUCGAGCAGAACACCUGCUACCGCAUGCAAUGGGGCACUUCUCAGCGAUGCGAGGGGAAGAAGUCCAAGGAUGAUGAGGAGACAGUUGAUGGGUUAGUGAAAUGUGAAGAGUGGAUUCAGGACGUUGAUAAUAAAGUGAAAAAAUCAAAGAUGGCUUCGUGGUUCAAUACUUUGAUAGGUUCCACAAAGAACUCACUCGAUCGGCCAUAUCCAUUUGUAGAGGGCAACUUAUUUGUUCUGACUCUAACUGCUGGCCUAGAAGGUUUCCAUGUGAAUGUUGAUGGGAGGCAUGUAACAUCCUUUGCUUAUCGCACUGGUUUUGUUCUUGAGGAUGCCACUGGCUUGUCACUGAAUGGAGAUCUUGACAUUGAGUCCAUAUAUGCUGCUUCUUUGCCUGCCAUUCAUCCUAUUUUUGCCCCACAAAGGCAUCUUGAAAUGUCUGCACAAUGGCAGGCUCCUCCACUUCCUGAUCAACCCAUUGAACUAUUCAUUGGCAUACUUUCAGCGGGCAACCAUUUUGCAGAGCGCAUGGCAAUCAGAAAAUCAUGGAUGUCUGCUGUGAGGGAAUCAUCAAAUGUUGUAGCACGUUUCUUUGUUUCAUUGCAUGGGAGGAAGGAAAUGAAUAUGGAGCUAAAGAAGGAAGCUGAAUUCUUUGGGGACAUUGUCAUAGUUCCCUACAUCGACAGCUAUGAUUUAAUUGUUCUGAAGACAGUUGCUAUUUGUGAGUAUGGGGCUCGAACCUUACCUGCCAAUUACAUAAUGAAGUGCGAUGAUGACACAUUUCUUAGACUUGAUUCAGUGCUCAAGGAAGUUAAUAAAGUGCCAACUGAUACAAGUCUAUACAUAGGGAACAUUAAUUAUUACCAUAAACCCCUUCGUUCUGGGAAAUGGGCUGUCACAUACGAGGAAUGGCCUGAAAAGGACUACCCACCUUAUGCAGAUGGUCCGGGCUAUGUUGUCUCAGCUGACAUUGCAUACUUUGUCAUAUCAGAGUUUGAAAAACAUACACUAAAAUUAUUUAAGAUGGAAGAUGUGAGCAUGGGCAUGUGGGUGGAGAGAUUCAAUGAUUCUAAGCCCGUUAAGUACGUGCACAACGUCAAGUUCUGCCAGUUCGGGUGCAUCAAUGAUUAUUACACUUCGCAUUACCAAUCUCCUAGGCAGAUGAUAUGCUUGUGGGAGAAGUUACGGGCCGGAAGGCCGCAGUGUUGCAACAUGAGAUGAGGUGCAAAGCGUGCCUAAGGCAAACUAGAUGCUUGUUUCAUCCAUUUUCUUGAUGGCUGGCUACAUCCAAGCAGAUGAUCCACCUUCGCCACAUUCAUUCAUUAUUUGAUUCUCAAUUCAAUAUAGAUCUUUUUGCUGCAUACUGUACAUGUCUUCAAGGGUAGAUCAAUUGACUGGAACUCUCAAGAUUAUAAAAUUUCUGCCGGUAAGAUUCGUGUCAAAAUGUUCUCAUAAGUUAUUAAAUAACAAAGGUCCUUCUGGAACACUUGACUAGUGCGACUGGUAAGAG